rnacentral:lncRNA from 1 species
AUCCCCGCGCGGCGGCGGCCAUCUUAGGGAGCGUUCCUGGGGCUGUCCGGAAGCCCGCCCUGGCACACUCCUUUGUUCCAUGGAACCGGCCACACUGUUUUCCAACCCGCAACCGACCAUGAGGAACGCGAGUGGUGGCAACCUAGAGAAGCGCCACCGGUUCCUGUCUCGCAGGCAGGGUGGCCCGAGUCAAGGAGCACCGAGAAACUCGCUUCCCUCAGCCCCUCCUCCGCCUUAACCGCCAUUUCAACCGUUGUGCGCGUCCCCGUGCUGGGCGCUGAGGGCGGAGCCGGGGCCGCGCGUCGCGCGCCGCUUUGUCCUCUUAGAGGGCGGGAGUCCGGGUUUGACGGCCCCCGCACUGCCGGAAGUCGCCUGGCGCUGUUUCCGCGGGCCUCGUUCCCAGCUUGUCCUUUGUCCUAGCUUUGGUGACCUUGACAACCUCCCGCACCCCCGCCUCGGUCCCUCGCGGCGGCCUUCCAGCGCCCGCCAGGCCCACGCCCCUCCCCCUCCGGCCCGCAGAUUUAGGUUAAAAAUAGCGCGCCGCUCGCGUGGAGGAGACUCAGGACAAAAUGGAGGCGGCCGCUACCUAGGGGGCAUGCGUCAGGCGGCAAGUGCCUUCCUUCGGGAGGGAGGCCGUGGGUGACGCGACGGUGACAUAGCGGGUAGAAACCCAGACCGUGGGUCGUUUGGGUCCAAGUGUCAGCCAGUUCAGCAGGCGAUGGCGACUCCGUUUUCGGGUUAAUGUCCUGGCCCCGGCCUUUUGCCUUUCUUUGUUUACCUAUUUCCCGAUUUGGCCUCUUCCGUUCCAAACGGCCCUUCCCCGGAAAAUGUCCCGGCCUGUCAUUGUGCAGAGUCAUGCCGCCUUUCAUGUAACGUGCUGCACGCUACUUGCCCGUCAGUGUUAGCUGGGAGGGUCUCAUCUUAAUUACCAUGCGGACUGCUUACUGUCUUAUUCUUCAUGCUCAUUAACUGCUUUUCGCCAAUCCCAGGGGGUAAAAGUGAUUUAUAUUUCUCUUUAUGCGUAGUAAGUUGUUUUUUGUUUUUAAGGAAGCUGAACAGUUACAAAGUGUAUAAUGCUCUAAUAUUACUAGGACUAGAAAAGGAACUGUUAUCUUGACAGUUUGGGAUACUCUACUGAAAUUCUUGGCUAGCCAGGCUUUGAAUUUUUGUCUGGAAGGUAAUAUUUAAGGUUGUAAUAUUCCAUAAAGGAGAGAGGAAUUCUUUUGCAUUCCUAAUUGCGGUAUAAAGGACGUAACGGGAAAAAUACCGAGGAAAUGGCGUUACCGUUUUACUUGUGACUGAGACGUUGCUAGAGUAUACUGAGUUGGAGUCCAUUUCACUUGUUUGAAAAAUGUCAUGGAUUCGAUAAAGUUUCUUAAUUUAACGAAAAUAGAAUAUUUUUCAGUUUUGUCUUUUAACAGUUAAUAAUGAAAAGUAACAAGCUCACCCUUCUCCUUCUCCCUGAAGGUGUGGAUGAAAGAAAACGACUUUGAAGAGAAUAGAGUUUAUUCUGUAGUAAAAUGUAAAUGAUCAUGACCCAAGGACAGGAUUCAAACUGCCCCCAAACCAUAUUCAACAUAAAAGUGUUACAGUCUUAUGAGUUUUAUAUGGUAACAAAAGAGAUAAGACACUUCAGUUUAUGGAAUGUCUCUGGCUAUUGGCCUUAGAUUUCAUCUGAUGACAUUCUCAGUCUUUGGGAUUGGUGGAAGUUAGUGUUCUGUUUAUACAUUCCAGAAGGACAGUCACAAGGAUAGAUGCUAAGCUAUACAUAGAAGUGGGCAAUGAAUGGCUAUUAAGGAGGCCAAGGAUAGCCUAAGAUAAUUUAGCUCCAGGCUUGCAGCAUUCCAGGUCUCUCCUGUCACAGUAGAAUCAGCCUUGUAGAAUUUUUAACUAAGGAUUGGGGUGAGUGGUUGUGUGGUUUCCCCCUCAUAGGAACUAUAGUUAACAAAGGAGUUAACUGUUGUGUUCUUCCAAUCUGUUUUCCUUCUCUUAAUUAAAAUUAUUAU